GGCACUUCCAAGAAGUCUGUGAAAGAACAGAGCAAGUGUGACGGUCAGGGCUGUGAACCUCAGUGCUUCAGAUGUGAAAGUGCGGAAGAUGUUGGGCUGUGAGUGUCACGCAGCAGAAUGGUGGAGGAGGCCUCUCGGGUUGGAAGUAACAUGGUGCGCAGAAGGCAGUUUCUGUGCACAGUGGAGCACGUGUGUUGAUGCCUGACAGCCCACGUUCAGAUCCUGGCUCAACCGCUCGCCAACGGUGUCAUUUGGACAAAUCUCUUAAUCUACGCAACGUACAAUGAGGACAGUUGUCACAGGACAUAACUUAUGGAGUUCUGUGAAUAUUAGGGAAUCUCCUCAUCUUUGCCACCGGUGGGGUACCCUCCCCACUCAUCCUGAGGCACCUGGGAGCAGACAGACACGAAACACGCGUCAGCUUUGUCACUAACGGCGGCAUCAGCUCCUUUUUGGAAACAAAUCCUCUACAAUUCCAUAAAGAUAUACCUCUUUAUGGUCAUUUAUCAGUUAAAGUCAGAUGCAUAAAAAUGCAUACCCUAAAAGGAAAUGAAUAUAAA